CCCCUAGAUGUUCUGGGCCGCACGCGCGCUACACUGAACAGUUCAACAAGUCUUAACCUUGGCCGAUAGGUCUGGGUAAUCUUUGAACGCUGUUCGUGAUUGGGAUAGACCUUUGCAAUUAUGGGUCUUCAACGAGGAAUUCCUAGUAAACGCAAGUAAUCAGCUUGCAUUGAUUACGUCCCUGCCCUUUGUACACACCGCCCGUCGCACCUACCGAUUGAAUGGUCCGGUGAAAUCUCGGGACGGCGGCUUGGUCGCUUGCGUCCGACUGCUGAAACUUGAUUAAACCAUAUCAUUUAGAGGAAGGUGAAGUCGUAACA
rnacentral:rRNA from 1 species